rnacentral:lncRNA from 1 species
UUGAUUGUUCUCCUUCUCAUUGUCUCUCAUUCAGCUGCCAGGAUAAGGAGAAGCAAAUGGAGAAGAGAUGAUAUGAGAUACUUUUGCUUUUGAAGAAGUAACUUUCCACAGGCUUAUUCUUGAACUAUGCUGGAGGGUUUUCUGGUUCCCUUCAGAGUAUAAGGCCGACUCAAGAAUUUGAGGGUCAAAACAAGUCCAUCAAAUCUAGAGUACGUUCGACCUUGAUGAUAUGGGAUACUUUUGCUGUUGAUGGAAUAAUGAAUGUGGUAUGGAAAGGUGUCGUGCUGUAGUGAUCUGUUUCAGCUCACCGUUGAACCUUCU